UAGGGAAUCUUGGGCAAUGGGCGAAAGCCUGACCCAGCGAUGCCGCGUGUGCGAAGAAGGCCUUAGGGUUGUAAAGCACUUUCAGUUGCGAAGAAAAGCUGCGAUCUAAUACAUCGCGGUCUUGACGUUAACAACAGAAGAAGUACCGGCUAACUCCGUGCCAGCAGCCGCGGUAAUACGGAGGGUACGAACGUUAAUCGGAAUUACUGGGCGUAAAGCGCGCGUAGGCGGUUUGAUAAGUGGGAUGUGAAAGCCCCGGGCUUAACCUGGGAACUGCAUUCCAAACUGUCAGACUAGAGUGUGGUAGAGGGAGGUAGAAUUUCCUGUGUAGCGGUGAAAUGCGUAGAUAUAGGAAGGAAUACCGAUGGCGAAGGCAGCCUCCUGGACCAACACUGACGCUGAGGCGCGAAAGCGUGGGGAGCAAACAGG
rnacentral:rRNA from 1 species